ACUAUUCUUAAAAGCAGAUAGACCUAAACUUGCAUUUCAGGCAGAAGAGCUCUGCUCAGUUUCCCAAGACUUCUUAUUGAUUAAUCAACAUGGUGUUGGAACUGAGCUUAAUUUUUAUUUUUGCUCUCUUAAAAGAUGUCCAGUGUGAAGUGAAGCUGGUGGAGUCUGGAGGAGGCUUGGUGCUACCUGGGGCUUCUCUGAAACUCUCUUGUAUAGUCUCAGGAUUCACUUUCAGUGACUACUGGAUGAGAUGGGUUCGGCAGGCUCCUGGAAAGGGUCUGGAGUUUAUUGGAGAGAUUAAACCGGAUGGCAGUAAGACAAACUAUGCACCAUCCAUGAAGGGUCGAUUCACAAUCUCCAGAGACAAUGCCAAGAACACCCUUUACCUGCAGAUGAGCAGUGUGAGAUCUGAGGACACUGCCACAUAUUACUGUGCUAGACACACAAUGAAUGAACUUCAGUGUAAAACUAGACAAAAACUUCACUGUCAGGCCCUCUGA